UGGGGAAUAUUACACAAUGGGCGCAAGCCUGAUGCAGCCAUGCCGCGUGUAUGAAGAAGGCCUUCGGGUUGUAAAGCACUUUCAGCGAGGAGGAAGGGUAGUGUGUUAAUAGCACAUUGCAUUGACGUUACUCGCAGAAGAAGCACCGGCUAACUCCGUGCCAGCAGCCGCGGUAAUACGGAGGGUGCAAGCGUUAAUCGGAAUUACUGGGCGUAAAGCGCACGCAGGCGGUUUGUUAAGUCAGAUGUGAAAUCCCCGCGCUUAACGUGGGAACUGCAUUUGAAACUGGCAAGCUAGAGUCUUGUAGAGGGGGGUAGAAUUCCAGGUGUAGCGGUGAAAUGCGUAGAGAUCUGGAGGAAUACCGGUGGCGAAGGCGGCCCCCUGGACAAAGACUGACGCUCAGGUGCGAAAGCGUGGGGAGCAAACA
rnacentral:rRNA from 1 species